UAAACUCAUUUCUGUAAA
rnacentral:snRNA from 1 species